rnacentral:rRNA from 1 species
UACAGAGGGUGCGAGCGUUACUCGGAAUUACUGGGCGUAAAGCGUGCGUAGACGGUUAUUUAAGUCAGAUGUGAAAGCCCCGGGCUCAACCUGGGAAUUGCAUUUGAGACUGAAUAGCUAGGGUGCGGUAGAGGGAAGCGGAAUUUCCGGUGUAGCGGUGAAAUGCGUAGAUAUCGGAAGGAACAUCAGUGGCGAAAGCGGCUUCCUGGACCAGCACCGACGUUCAGGCACGAAAGCGUGGGGAGCAAACAGG